GAUGAACGCUGGCGGCGUGCCUAAUACAUGCAAGUCGAGCGCAUGGAUUAAGAGCUUGCUCUUAUGAAGUUAGCGGCGGACGGGUGAGUAACACGUGGGUAACCUGCCCAUAAGACUGGGAUAACUCCGGGAAACCGGGGCUAAUACCGGAUAACAUGUUGAACCGCAUGGUUCGAAAUUGAAAGGCGGCUUCGGCUGUCACCUAUGGAUGGACCCGCGUCGCAUUAGCUAUUUGGGGAGGUAACGGCUCACCAAGGCAACGAUGCGUAGCCGACCUGAGAGGGUGAUCGGCCACACUGGGACUGAGACACGGCCCAGACUCCUACGGGAGGCAGCAGUAGGGAAUCUCCGCAAUGGACGAAAGUCUGACGGAGCAACGCCGCGUGAGUGAUGAAGGCUUUCGGGUCGUAAAACUCUGUUGUUAGGGAAGAACAAGUGCUAGUUGAAUAAGCUGGCACCUUGACGGUACCUAACCAGAAAGCCACGGCUAACUACGUGCCAGCCGCCGCAGUAA
rnacentral:rRNA from 1 species